UUAUCCCCUCGCAUAUUCUGGAGACCACAGCAGGCGUCUCGUCCUUCAACCCCCCUUGCUCAAUUUCUCUCCCCUUUCUUCUUGUGCUCUCUCUUCAAGAAUCCACACCAAAUCUUCAUGAAAUUGAGUUCGUUUUUGUUGCCUUAUCUGUUCUCCGCGGUUUUUUCCAUCAUAGAUCCAUGAGAGGGGGUGAGCUUGUUCGUGUUUUUUGCUUUCCUGUCUCAUGUCCUGCGCAAUACGCCAUGGAUCCAUGAGGUUGAGCUCAAGUACAUGCUGCUCACACACGCUCGGCUCCUUGGAGCUGCGAGCAAGGGGCCCGACGACUGCGCUGCAAGCUCGCGCACCCCGCUACGUCACCAUGGUGCGUGACGAUGGCGACCGGUUCCUGCUCAGGCAACGAUGCUGGAACCGGCGGACUAGGGAGCUGCAACCGGCACAUGACGAUGCUGGAACCAGUGUCCCCUGAUGCUGGACCGCACGCGUCCUGGACAGUUUUGUUGCUUUUUAGAUUUGUUUUUGCUGGACAUGGCGGUUGCGGUGCAAGUCAAUGACGGCGGCGAGCCGGAGACGGAGACGACGGAGAUGCUGCAACCAUGGUGACCACAAGCUGGAACCCGUCUGCGUUCGAGUUGUAACCAUGGCGAGCAGAGACAGCCGAGACAAGCGCAAUGACGCGAGCGCUGGCGAACACGGGUGGGCGGGCGCGGUGGCACAGGUGACCAGCUAGCAUGAGAUGCCGAGGACAAGUGUGGGCGGCCGGCGAGCACGCAGAUUCUGGCCGGCGAGUGCGUGGAUUCUGGUCGCUACCUUUUUUCAGCAUGGUUGACUUUUUAGAGACAGAGGAAAAGUUGUAUCGUAUGGUUAAAAAAGUCUGUAUCGUACGCUCGGCAGCGGACCGGCCGAAAUUUGGGCCGGCGCGCCGGCGCCUAUCACUGCCCAUAAUUUAUAGAGCAUGAUUGGUUCGAUGUCAAAAGUUGACAUGCCAAUAUUUAGCAAA